rnacentral:rRNA from 1 species
UACGUAGGUGGCGAGCGUUAUCCGGAUUUACUGGGUGUAAAGGGAGCGCAGACGGAACUGCAAGUCUGAUGUGAAAGCCCGGGGGCUCAACCGCGGGACUGCAUUGGAAACUGUAGAUCUGGAGUGCCUGAGGGCAAGCGGAAUUCCUGGUGUAGCGGUGAAAUGCGUAGAUAUCAGGAGGAACACCGGCGGCGAAGGCGGCUUGCUGGGACGGCAACUGACGUUGAGGCUCGAAAGUGUGGGGAUCAAACAGGAUUAGAUA